UACGGAGGAUGCGAGCGUUAUCCGGAUUUAUUGGGUUUAAAGGGUGCGUAGGCGGGCUUUUAAGUCAGCGGUAAAAAUUCGGGGCUCAACCCCGUCCGGCCGUUGAAACUGGGGGCCUUGAGUGGGCGAGAAGGAGGCGGAAUGCGUGGUGUAGCGGUGAAAUGCAUAGAUAUCACGCAGAACCUCGAUUGCGAAGGCAGCCUUCCGGCGCCCUACUGACGCUGAGGCACGAAAGUGCGGGGAUCGAACAGG
rnacentral:rRNA from 1 species